rnacentral:rRNA from 1 species
GUCCACGCCCUAAACGAUGUCAACUAGGUGUUGGGUGGGUAAACCAUUUAGUACCGGAGCUAACGCGUGAAGUUGACCGCCUGGGGAGUACGGCCGCAAGGUUAAACUCAAAGGAAUUGACGGGGACCCGCACAAGCGGUGGAUGAUGUGGAUUAAUUCGAUGCAACGCGAAAAACCUUACCUACCCUUGACAUGUCAGGAAGGCCGAAGAGAUUUGGCUGUGCCCGAAAGGGAACCUGAACACAGGUGCUGCAUGGCUGUCGU